rnacentral:rRNA from 1 species
UACAGGGGGUGCAAACGUUGCUCGGAAUCAUUGGGCGUAAAGCGCACGUAGGCGGUUCGUUAUGUCGGAUGUGAAAGCCCUUGGCUUAACCGAGGAAGUGCAUCCGAAACUGGCGAGCUAGAGUACUAAAGAGGAUCGCGGAAUUCCCGGUGUAGAGGUGAAAUUCGUAGAUAUCGGGAAGAACACCCGUGGCUAAGGCGGCUCUCUAGUACGGUACUGACGCUGAGACGCGAAAGCGUGGGAGCGAACAGG